CCCUACGCCUCAAGCCUUCAUCAUGAACGUCCUCCAAGUACAAGAUACUUCGGAGUAUUCCCUGGAUAAAUCAAUACAAAUCCCUCGAGGCAUUCCCCGGCCAAAUGAAUACAUUUUUAGUGCGAGAAAAUCAAACUAUUCAACAAAAUUUCAAACAUUCCACGGAAUUUCCAACAUUCAACCAAAGCCACAAAUUCUAAACUUUG
rnacentral:lncRNA from 1 species